rnacentral:rRNA from 1 species
AUUUGUCCCCUAAAUAGGGACUCGUAUGAACGGCUAACUGAGGUUCUAACUGUCUCAUUAGACCAAUCAAUGAAACUGAUCUCCCAGUACAAAAGCUGAGAUAAGACCAUAAGACGAGAAGACCCUGUGGAGCUUUAAAUAUAUACUAUAAACACAUCAAACCACUUUUUAGUUGGGGCGACUUUGGAACAAAACAAAACUUCCAUGCCAGGUCCCUACCAAGGCCCACACGCCAAAAUAACUCCUUAUUGACCCAGCCCAUUCCAAGCUGAUCAACGAACCAAGUUACCCCAGGGAUAACAGCGCCAUCCUCUUCAAGAGUCCAUAUCGACAAGAGGGUUUACGACCUCGAUGUUGGAUCAGGACACCCCGGUGGUGCAACCGCUA